GUAGUAUAUGCUUUCUGGUGGACACUAAUAUGGAACACAAAGAUCUUCUCACAUUGCAGCUGCUCCCAUAUAUCCAUUGAUAUAUGCCUCUAACUCCAGACCUUUUUGUCCUUAAUCUUCUAAUCUGGUUAUCUCUUUUCCUUUAGUGCAAUUUUUCCUUCUUAUUUGUUUGUUUUUUUUUUUUUUUAAGUAAAUAGCUAGGCUUCUAAGCCCUACCACAGAGAGUCAACAGACAAACUGCCCAGGGAAAAGUUAUGACCUCAGGCAAAGUGAAUUUCUACAGCUAAGGCAGAUCCUGAAGAAGCUCACAAAUAAAGGCUGCAUACUCACACAUUCCCUGAAGCUUGACAGUGCCAGCCACCAUACUGUGAGGGAGCUGAAGUAAGCCCACAUGAGGAAGAAUUGAGGCCCCAAGCCAACAGCUGCAGCUAAGAUCCAAGCUCUCAACCAGUACCAGUUCAUCCGUUAUGCACACUAAGAUAUGGAAGCUAAAAGACGACUAAGAGGAUUCUGUGGAUAUUACAAGAUAUUGCAGACUAUCUUGUUUUCCUAGAAAAGGAUUUUAUCUCAGUCGACUGAAUUACUUUUUUCACUGUGUCUUGCCACUCUUCGUGCAUGCAUCAAAGACCCUAAUAUGACUUCUGGUGGCCUGGGACUCCUUGGGAAAACAGAAAAGGGGCCACAAAUCCCAUUUUGGGAACAAUCUGUUUUACUCAUGGAACCCCUGGAAUUAGAG